GAUUGAACGCUGGCGGCAUGCCUUACACAUGCAAGUCGAACGGCAGCACGGACUUCGGUCUGGUGGCGAGUGGCGAACGGGUGAGUAAUGUAUCGGAACGUACCUUUCAGUGGGGGAUAACGUAGCGAAAGUUACGCUAAUACCGCAUAUUCUGUGAGCAGGAAAGCAGGGGAUCGCAUGACCUUGCGCUGAUUGAGCGGCCGAUAUCAGAUUAGCUAGUUGGUGAGGUAAAGGCUCACCAAGGCGACGAUCUGUAGCGGGUCUGAGAGGAUGAUCCGCCACACUGGAACUGAGACACGGUCCAGACUCCUACGGGAGGCAGCAGUGGGGAAUUUUGGACAAUGGGGGCAACCCUGAUCCAGCCAUGCCGCGUGAGCGAAGAAGGCCUUCGGGUUGUAAAGCUCUUUCGGCCGGGAAGAAAUCGCAUGGGUUAAUACCCUGUGUGGAUGACGGUACCGGAAUAAGAAGCACCGGCUAACUACGUGCCAGCAGCCGCGGUAAUACGUAGGGUGCGAGCGUUAAUCGGAAUUACUGGGCGUAAAGCGUGCGCAGGCGGUUUAGUAAGACAGGCGUGAAAUCCCCGGGCUCAACCUGGGAACUGCGCUUGUGACUGCUAAGCUAGAGUACGGCAGAGGGGGGUGGAAUUCCACGU
rnacentral:rRNA from 1 species